rnacentral:tRNA from 1 species
AGAAGCUUAGGUUAACACCAAACCAAGGGCCUUCAAAGCCCUCAAUGAGGGUGAAAAUCCCCCAGCUUCUG